rnacentral:rRNA from 1 species
CCUACGGGUGGCAGCAGUGAGGAAUAUUGGUCAAUGGACGAAAGUCUGAACCAGCCAAGCCGCGUGCAGGAUGAAGGUUCUGUGAAUUGUAAACUUCUUUUGUAUGGGAGUAAACACCCCUACGUGUACCCGCUUGAGUGUAUCAUACGAAUAAGGAUCGGCUAACUCCGUGCCAGCAGCCGCGGUAAUACGGAGGAUCCAAGCGUUAUCCGGAUUUAUUGGGUUUAAAGGGUGCGUAGGCGGUUUGGUAAGUUAGGGGUGAAAUACCGGUGCUCAACACCGGAACUGCCUUUAAUACGGUUGAACUAGAGAGGAGGUGAGGUAGGCGGAAUGUAUGGUGUAGCGGUGAAAUGCUUAGAGAUCAGACAGAACACCGAUUGCGAAGGCAGCUUACCAAAAUAUAACUGACGUUGAGGCACGAAAGCGUGGGUAGCAAACAGGAUUAGAUACCCCGGUAGUC